GAUGAACGCUAGCUACAGGCUUAACACAUGCAAGUCGAGGGGAAACGGCAUCGAAAGCUUGCUUUUGAUGGGCGUCGACCGGCGCACGGGUGAGUAACGCGUAUCCACCCUGCCCAUCACUUGGGAAUAACCUUGCGAAAGUAAUACUAAUGCCCAAUGACAUCCCACGAAGGCAUCCGAAAGGGAUUGAAGUUUUAUCGGUUAUGGAUGGGGAUGCGUCUGAUUAGCUUGUUGGCGGGGUGACGGCCCACCAAGGCAACGAUCAGUAGGGGUUCUGAGAGGAAGGUCCCCCAGAUUGGAGCUGAGACACGGUCCAAACUCCUACGGGAGGCAGCAGUGAGGAAUACUGGUCAAUGGGCGAGAGCCUGAACCAGCCAAGUAGCGUGCAGGAUGCCGGCCCUCUGGGUUGUAAACUGCUUUUAUAAGGGAAUAAAGUGGGUAACGUGUGACUUUUUGAAUGUACCUAAUGAAUAAGGACCGGCUAAUUCCGUG
rnacentral:rRNA from 1 species